rnacentral:lncRNA from 1 species
UCCUUCACUAUACUGUCAUAAAUAAACAGUCAUACAUAUUGAUUGAUUGAUUGAUUGAUUGAUUGAUUAGUUGGUUGGUUGGUUGGUUGAUUGAUUGAUUGAUUGAUUGGUUGGUUGGUUAAACACGUUGGAUAGGGUCAAUUGAAACAGCGAAAAAGAAACAAGAUCUUGGACCCUAUAUUAAACACAUGAAACGGAAACAUGAUUGAUUAAUUGAUUGAU